rnacentral:rRNA from 1 species
GACGAACCGUGCGAACGUUGUUCGGAAUCACUGGGCUUAAAGGGCGCGUCGGCGGCCGAUCGCGUCCGGGGUGAAAGCUUCCGGCUUAACCGGAACAGUGCCCCGGGUACGGACCGGCUGGAGGGAGGUAGGGGCAGGUGGAACUUCCGGUGGAGCGGUGAAAUGCGUUGAGAUCGGAAGGAACGCCGGUGGCGAAAGCGACCUGCUGGACCUCUUCUGACGCUGAUGCGCGAAAGCUAGGGGAGCGAACGGG